rnacentral:rRNA from 1 species
CGGGAAAAGCUCAAAUUUGAAAUCUGGCGGCUCCGCCGUCCGAGUUGUAUUCUGGAGAAGUGUUUUCUGUGCUGGACCGUGUACAGGUCUCCUGGAACGGAGCGUCAUAGAGGGUGAGAAUCCCGUCUUUGACACGGACUGCCAGGGCAUAGUGGUGCGCUCUCGAA